rnacentral:tRNA from 1 species
GGAAUGGAUGUAGCUCACAGGCAGAACAUCUGCUUUGCAUGCAGAAGGUCACAGGUUCAAUUCCUGGCAUCUCCA